AUGAACUGUUGUAAAUCGAGGAUUGUCUGUACAUGUUUGUGUGUUGUGUAUGUAUAUAAAAACAUAGGUAUAUUUUGUGACACACAUACCCCCCCCCCAAAAAAAACCCUCCCUAGAUCAGGGGUCCUCAAUCUUGGCACUUGUGGACUUCAACUCCCAGGAUUCCUCAGCCAGCAAAGCCAAUGGAGAGCAAAACUGGCUGAGGAAUCCUGGGAGUUGAAGUCCACCAGUCUUAAAGGGGGCCAAGGUUGGGUAUCCCUGCCCUACAUCCAUCCUAGCAGCAACCGAAGCGCUUCGCCUCCCCGGCGCCCGCCUGAGAGCAAGCCUCAACGCCGCGGAGGCUCAUUCUGCAGGUCCCAAGAUGCCGGAAAGGCUCGGGCUGCCUGUCGGGGACAACCACGGCCGGCUUGGCCACAGAGCUCCCUUGGCAAGCGGGGCGCCGGACGGAUCGGGGCGACUUCCUGGAGGCCGCAGAGCAGGCCCGGCCGACUGGACCCUCGCAGACCAGGAAGCCCUACCGACUGGAUCCAGGGCGGCCGCUCGACCGAGCACCGGAUCCCAGGCCGCCUCCCGCAAGCGCUGCCAGGCCGCCGCUUCUUCCUCGCUGUCACCGUCACUCGCCUCAGGGCCGGGCGCCGCCAUCGCCAAGCCGUGCUCGCCGCGGAGAACUCUGGGAGCCGUAGUCCGGAAGGGAGGGCGGGGCGCGAGACGCGCGGCCUCCCGCGGGAUUCGGAUCAUGAAAUCCCGCCGCCCCACGGACCGCCUCCAGGCCGCGCGGACGGAUCGCUCGCGCCGGAUCUUUUCGCCGCUGGAACCUUCGUGGCGGUGCAAGAGGGGCGAAAGGCGCUUCCGGUGUGCAGGCCUCACUUACUUCCGGCCGGGAGAGGAAAGAAACGUACUCCGUCCGGGAAGAAGAGCGGCGGCUGUGGCCCCUUCCGGAUUCAGUUUCCCACAGAGUUUCAAACUGGAAGCCAAAAAUGGCCAGCAAAGGACCUGCAGCUUCAGCUUCUACAGAAAGUUCCAGUGCAGGUGGAACCAGUGGGAACAGCAGCAACGGGGACAGUACGGGUCAGGACAGCACAUUUGAAUGCAACAUCUGUUUGGACACUGCUAAGGAUGCUGUGA
rnacentral:lncRNA from 1 species